GAUGAAUGCUGGCGGCGUGCCUAACACAUGCAAGUCGAGCGGCAGCGAGGGGUGCUUGCACCCUGUCGGCGAGCGGCGAACGGCUGAGUAACGCGUAGGAAUUUGCCCCAAAGUGAGGAAUAACUGCCCGAAAGGGUAGCUAAUGCCGCAUAUGGUCUUCGGAUUAAAGGAUUUAUCCGCUUUGGGAGAAGCCUGCGUUGGAUUAGGUUGUUGGUAGGGUAAUGGCCUACCAAGCCGACGAUCCAUAGCUGGUCUGAGAGGAUGAUCAGCCAGACUGGAACUGAGACACGGUCCAGACUCCUACGGGAGGCAGCAGUGAGGAAUCAUCCACAAUGGGCGAAAGCCUGAUGGAGCAACGCCGCGUGAAGGAUGAAGGCCUUCGGGUUGUAAACUUCUUUUAUGAGUGAAGAAUAUGACGGUAACUCAUGAAUAAGCACCGGCUAACUACGUG
rnacentral:rRNA from 1 species